GGUGAGUAAUGCUUGGGAAUCUGCCCAAUAGUGGGGGACAACUCGGGGAAACCCGGGCUAAUACCGCAUAAUCUCUACGGAGGAAAGAGGGCCUCUACUUGUAAGCUCUCGCUAAUGGAUGAGCCCAAGUCAGAUUAGCUAGUUGGUAGGGUAAUGGCUUACCAAGGCUACGAUCUGUAGCUGGUCUGAGAGGAUGAUCAGCCACACUGGGACUGAGACACGGCCCAGACUCCUACGGGAGGCAGCAGUGGGGAAUAUUGCACAAUGGGCGCAAGCCUGAUGCAGCAAUGCCGCGUGUGUGAAGAGGGCUCUAGGGUUGUAAAGCACUUUCAAUAGAGAAGAAAAGCUUGAAGUUAAUACCUUCAAGCCUUGACGUAACCUAUACAAGAAGCACCGGCUAAUUCCGUGCCAGCAGCCGCGGUAAUACGGGAGGUGCGAGCGUUAAUCGGAAUUACUGGGCGUAAAGCGAGCGUAGGCUGUUAAAUAAGUCGAAUGUGAAAUCCCCGGGCUUAACCUGGGAACUGCACUCGAAACUAUUUAACUAGAGUAUGGGAGAGGAA
rnacentral:rRNA from 1 species